rnacentral:lncRNA from 1 species
CUUUCUGUUGGAGAAGUCCGGCAAGAGUCUGAUUGCUAGAGAAGUCCGUCUGAAAUUUAUCUGAUGUAGAAGCUCGUCUGAAGACUGUCCACUGGAGAGGUCUGAUUUCACGAGGAAUCCAGCAGAAGGUCGAUCGAUAGUGGAGUUCGGAAGGCAUUGUGGAAGUUCAUCCGCUGGAGGAGUCUUGAGGACACUGUGGAAGGUUGACCACUGGAGGAGUUUGGAAUUUAAUUCUAUUGUAGAAGUUCGGACGGAGUCUGAUUCUUGUAGGAGUCCAGAAGGAGGCCGCUUACUGUAGAAGCUCAGAUGA